ensembl:rRNA 5S_rRNA 5S ribosomal RNA
CCACAGACACACUAUCCUGAAGGCACAUAAUCUCAUGUAUCUUAGCAGCUAAGCAGGGCGGGGUCUGGUUAGUACUUGAAUGGGAGAAACUGCCCAACCAAUUUCUAAAAUGGU